AUUCUAAAUGUUUGAAGAGUACAGGGGCUAAGAUCAUAUUUUAACCUAAAACAAUAUAUCCCCUAGGGUUUUGUUGGGAGCGUAUAUAAUCGUUGAAUAUCACAGAAAUUAGGGUCUGGAGCGUGCUCUGUUGUCUGGGUUUCAACUAGCUUCAAUCGAAAAUGCCGAAGCAAAUUCAUGAGAUCAAAGACUUCCUUCUCACCGCCAGAAGGAAAGAUGCACGCUCGGUAAAGAUCAAGAAUAGCAGAGAUGUAGUUAAGUUCAAGGUCCGUUGCUCCAAGUACUUGUACACACACUGCGUUUCUGAUGCCGAGAAGGCUGAGAAGUUGAAGCAGUCCCUUCCUCCAGGUUUGAGUGUCCAAUACCUGUGAAAAUAGGGUUGCACCAAGUCUAUCAUUCAACUUCUAGGCUAAAUAGAGUUUGAUUCUAAGUUUUAUUGUAUUUUAUGUCAUUUUACAUUCAAACUCAGCAAAAGUUUCUGUAAUGGAUUUAUAUUUUUGGUGUUUCGGUGAUCUGUGCACUUUUUGAUGAU